rnacentral:rRNA from 1 species
GAUCCUGGCUCAGGAUGAACGCUAGCGACAGGCCUAACACAUGCAAGUCGAGGGGCAGCGGAGAGGUAGCAAUACCUUUGCCGGCGACCGGCGCACGGGUGAGUAACACGUAUGCAAUCCACCUGUAACAGGGGGAUAACCCGGAGAAAUCCGGACUAAUACCCCAUAAUAUGGGUUCUCCGCAUGGAGGGUCCAUUAAAGAGAGCAAUUUUGGUUACAGACGAGCAUGCGCUCCAUUAGCCAG